GACAGAGGGUGCAAACGUUGUUCGGAAUUACUGGGCGUAAAGCGCGUGUAGGCUGCUCCGAAAGUCGGAUGUGAAAGCCCUGGGCUCAACCUAGGAAGUGCAUUCGAAACUUCGGAGCUGGAGUCCUGGAGAGGAAGGCGGAAUUCUCGGUGUAGAGGUGAAAUUCGUAGAUAUCGAGAGGAACACCGGUGGCGAAGGCGGCCUUCUGGACAGUGACUGACGCUGAGGAGCGAAAGCGUGGGGAGCGAACAGG
rnacentral:rRNA from 1 species